rnacentral:lncRNA from 7 species
CCCAUAUAAGGUGCUCUAUAGGGAGCCAUAUAGGGUCCCUAUAGGAGAUCAUAGAAGGGUCCAUAUAGGGGUCCCAUAUAAAGGGCCAUAUAAAGGGGCCAUAUAGGGGGCCAUCUAAGGGGCCAUCUAAGGGGCCAUAUAGGGGGCCAUUUAAAGAGCCAUAUAAGGGGCCGUAUAAGGGGCCAUAUGGGGUUCAUAUAAGUGGCCCUAUAGGGUGCCUAUAGGGGGCCAUAUAGGGUGCCAUCUAAGGGGUCGUCUAAGGGGCCAUAUAAGGAGCCAUAUAAGAGGCCAUAUAAAGGGGCCAUAUAAGGGGUCAUAUGGGGUCCCAUCUAAGGGGCCCUAUAAGGUGCCAUAUAGGGUCCCUAUGGGGGGCCAUAGAAGGGGCCAUAUAGGGUGCCAUAUAAUUGGCCACAUAAGAGGCCAUAUAAGGGGCCAUAUAAGGAGCCAUAUAAGGAGCCGUAUAAGGGGCCGUAUAAGGGGCCAUAUAAAGGGGCCAUAUAAGGGGUCAUAUGGGGUCGCAUAUAAGGAGCCCUAUAAGGUGCCAUAUAGGGUCCCUAUGGGGGGCCAUACAAGGGGCCAUAUAGGGUGCCAUAUAAUUGGCCACAUAAGAGGCCAUAUAAAGGGGCCGUCUAAGGGGCCAUAUAAGAGGCCAUAUAAGCGGCCCUAUAGGGUGCCAUAUAGGGUCGGUGUGGGGUACCUGGCGGAGCUCGGCCUCGAGCUGCAGUGCCCGCUGUAGGAUGGGGCCGCGCACGGCGUAACGGACCCGAAGCACUGCGGGGUUCAGCAACGGGGGGGGGGGGGGGGACCCCAACGGCCGCCGGGCUGUGGGGGGGCAAUGGGGGCGGAUGUGGGGUGGGGGGGGGGCUAUGGGGUCUAUGGGGUCUAUGGGGUCUAUGGGGUCUAUGGGGGAGUCUAUGGGGUCUAUGGGGUCUAUGGGGGGGUCUAUGGGGUCUAUGGGGUCUAUGGGGUUUAGGGUCGGGUAUGGGGUGGGGGAUGGGGUAGGGGAUGGAUGGGGUGGAUGGGGUAUAGGGUCGGGUAUGGGGUGUAUGGGGUGGCAAUGGGGGCAGAUGUGGGGUGGGGAAGGUCUAUGGGGUCUAUGGGGUCUAUGGGGUCAGGUGUGGGGUGGAUGGGGUAUAGGGUCGGGUAUGGGGUGGAUUGGGUGGGAAUGGGGGCGGCUGUGGGGUGGGGGGGGUCUAUGGGGUCUAUGGGGUCUAUGGGGUAUAGGGUCGGGUAUGGGGUGGAUGGGGUGGAUGGGGUAUAGGGGCGGCUAUGGGGUGGAUGGGGUGGGAAUGGGGGCGGCUGUGGGUGGGGGGGGCUAUGGGGUCUAUAGGGUCGAUGGGGUCUAUGGGGUAUAGGGUCAGGUAUGGGGUGGGAGGUGGAUGGGGUGGAUGGGGUAUAGGGGCGGCUAUGGGGUGUGGGGGGUGUAUGGGGUAUAGGGUUGGGUAUAGGGUCAGAUAUGGGGUGUAUGGGGGGUGUAUGGGGUGUAUGGGGCGGCAAUGGGGGCAGAUGUGGGGUGGGGGGGGUCUAUGGGGUCCAUGGGGUAUAGGGUCGGGUAUGGGGUGUGGGGUGGAUGGGUUAUAGGGUCGGGUAUGGGGUGGAGGGUGGAUGGGGUGGCAAUGGGGGCGGCUGUGGGGUGCAGGGGGUCUAUGGGGUCUAUGGGGUCAGGUGUGGGGUCUAUGGGGUAUAGGGUCGGGUAUGGGGUGGAUGGGGUGGAUGGGGUAUAGGGGCGGCUAUGGGGUGGGGGGUGGAUGGGGUGGGAAUGGGGGCGGAUGUGGGGUGUAGGGGGGGCUAUGGGGUCUAUGGGGUAUAGGGUCGGGUAUGGGGUGGAUGGGGCAGCAAUGGGGGCAGAUGUGGGGUGGGGGGGGUCUAUGGGGUCUAUGGGGUCAGGUGUGGGGUGUAUGGGGUAUAGCAUCAGGUAUGGGGUGUGGGGUGGAUGGGGAGGCAGUGGGGGCGGAUGUGGAGUGGCGGGGGGUCUAUGGGGUCUAUGGGGUAUAGGGUUGGGUAUGGGGUAGGGGGUGGAUGGGGUGGAUGGGGAAUAGGGUCAGGUAUGGGGUGUAUGGGGUGUGUGGGGGGUAUAGGGCAGCAAUGGGGGCGGCUGUGAAGUGGGGGGGUAUGGGGUAUAGGUAGGGGUAUGGGGUGUGGGGUGCAUGGGGUGGGAAUGGGGGCGGAUGUGGGGUGGGGGGGUCUAUGGGGUCUAUGGGGUAUAGGGUCAGGUAUGGGGUGGGGGGUGGAUGGGGUGGAUGGGGUAUAGGGGCGGCUAUGGGGUGGGGGGCGUGGAUGGGGUGGAUGGGGUAUGGGGUCUGUGGGGGUCUAUGGGUGUCUAUGGGGUCGAUGGGGUAUAGGGUCGGCUUUGGGGUGGGGAGUGGAUGGGGUGGAUGGGGUAUAGGGUGGGCUAUGGGGUGGUGGGUGGAUGGGGUAUAGGGUUGGGUAUGGGGUGUGUGGGGUGGAUGGGGUGAAUGGGGUAUAGGGUCAGGUAUGGGGUGGAGGGUGGAUGGGGUGGCAAUGGCAGCGGCUGUGGGGUGGGGGGGAUCUAUGGGGUCUAUGGGGUAUAGGGCAGGUAUAGGGUGGGUGGGGUAUGGGGUGUAUGGGGGCAAGUGUGGGGUAUAUGGGGUGGGAAUGGGGGCGGCUGUGGGGUGGGGGGGGGUCUAUGGGGUCUAUGGGGUAUAGGGUCGGAUAUGGGGUGCGGGGUGUAUGGGGUAUAGGGUCGGGUAUGGGGUGUGGGUGGAUGGGGUGGAUGGGGUGUAGCUCACUGUGCCCCAUAGAAACCCCAUAGAGCCCCACUGUGCCCCAUAGAGCCCCACUGUGUCCCAGAGAAACCCCCAUAGAGCGCCAUAGAAACCCCAUAGAAACCCCAAAGCGCCCCAUAGAGCCCCACUGUGCCCCAUAGAAACCCCAUAGAGUUCCACUGGACCCCAUGGAAACCCCAUAGCGCCCCAUAGAGCCCCACAGCGCCCCAUAGAAACCCCACAGAGCCCCAAAGAAACCCCAUAGAGCC